AAUUUUAGAGGGCAAACCUGUUGAAAAGCAGGGACGCAAAGUUAUGGGGCUAAAUCCUUUAAAGGAUUUAGCUUGCCAGACUGCAUUU
rnacentral:ncRNA from 1 species